rnacentral:lncRNA from 1 species
UGGCUGCAGGCAGACCUCGUCCGGACUCCUACGGGAGCCAGACUCCAUUCACGACUUCAAUCACAGGUAGACUUCGUUUGGACUCCUACGGAAGUCGCACUCUGCCCAUAACUUCAAUCACAGGAGGACUUCGUCGGACUCCUACGAGAGUCGGACUUCGAGCUCCUAUUGCAAGCGACCCACUCCGAGUGACUGCUGCAAACGAACUACUUCAAGUUCCUACCA